ACGAAGGGAGCUAGCGUUGUUCGGAAUUACUGGGCGUAAAGGGCGCGUAGGCGGUUAAACAAGUCAGGCGUGAAAGCCCCGGGCUCAACCCGGGAACUGCGCUUGAGACUGUUUUCCUAGAGUACGGUAGAGGUAAGUGGAAUUCCCAGUGUAGCAGUGAAAUGCGUAGAUAUUGGGAGGAACACCAGUGGCGAAGGCGGCUUACUGGACCGUAACUGACGCUGAGGCGCGAAAGCGUGGGGAGCAAACAG
rnacentral:rRNA from 1 species